rnacentral:lncRNA from 1 species
AGAACACAGGAUGUCAGCGCCAUCUUGUGACGGCGAAUGUGGGGGUGGCUCCCAACAGGUUUUGCUAUGGGUUUCGUUUCUCAAGGUGUUCCAGAUUUUGCUCCCUUUUCCUGGACCCUGACUCUACUUCACUGCUAUAACAGCCAUGUACCAUGCCUGCCAUGAUGCUGCCAUGUUCCUGCCUUGAUAAUAGACUGGAUCUCUGAACCUGACACAGCUGAAUUUGACCAUGUAGUACCAAGAUCCUGUCACAACAGUAUCUUACAAAAUGAGAAUGGAAUGGAUGUGAAUCUUUGGUCUGUAGCAGCUGUUAUUAAAUCUAUAAGCCUAGCUAACCUCAGGAAGAUGGCUGGCAAAUGACUGUUUUAUUGUAUGCUUAGGUAUGCUUUGAUGUACUUUGGACACAGUUUUUUUUUUUUAAAUAAGAUUAUAGAUUAAAAAUUAUGUCCCAUGCAUGAAAUAUAGUGUAAUGUGGAGUUUAACCAAUGAUGACAUGUUUUGAGCAAUGAAAGUGCUAAAUUAGGUAAUAUUUAAGAUAUGAAUAAGAAUACCCAAGGGUAGGCUGAACCAAACUCUAACAAUGUUCACGAAAAUUGCUGUAUCACAAGGUUCACUUAAAUCAAUGUCACUAGAUCCUGCACCUCUGUCAAACACCCAGUGUUUCCAAUGUCUACGGCUACCAGUCUGACUGUUCUCCAAAAUUUACAACACAGAGAUCAGAAGGUUAUGUCUUCUUCCCAUCUAUCUACUCUGGCUUUACUAAUAAGUAAAAAUUAAGGGCUGAUGUAAUUCUUAACUGUCACCACCAAGAGACUUUGUGAUAUAUCCUUGGCUCUGAGUUCUUCCACAAAAAGGAUUAAACAUACAACAACAAAAAUCUGAUGAAAUUCUGGGAUACUUCAAACAGUUACAUGUUGACUCACAAAGCUCACUAACUGAUGAACCCAGUGAACUUGGAGAAUAAUAACGCAAAAGUGAGGUAACUGUUGAUUGCACAGUAGAUGCAGUUUGGGUGUGAGUAAGCACAUUGGUAGUCUCAGAACUCCUUAUCUAAAUGGCCAGAGUUGAACCCAGGUAGAUAUCAUUUUCAUUGGGCUUAAUUAAGCCUUGUGCAUGUGGAUUGUUUUGGCACGAAACAAGGCCCUAACCUGAAACCUAGCAGUAUAAAAAUUCCCAUUGGCAAGGCCAGAAGUCAUUACAUUUGCUAUUCUCAUUUAUUAUAUUAUGAAUUCUCCACCCUGUAAACAAGAUAAUUUAAAACACACUGAUCUAAAUUAAAACCAUAAGUAAUCCAUUAUAAGUGAGUUUUGCCCAGUUUCUUUCAAAAUGAUCUGUUUAUACUUGUAAACCUCAAUUUGAUUUUUAAACAGAGCCUCUACUUUGCUUACUUUCUUGAAAUUAUCUAGGCGUUUCAUCUGUAAAUCUCUCUGUACCUUUGAACCCGUUGUCUUGUUCACUGUAUUCUUCACUUUCCUACCUGUACAAAUGUCUUAACAGUUCAUCUACUUUCUAACCAGAGUUACGGUAGUCUGUAAUGCUUAGAUGCAUACAAGAAGUGAAAAUUUGGAAUAAUAUUAAAUUGGGAGAUGUUGUAAGCACCAAAUCCAUAUUGAAUUUUAGACUUUUCACAUCAAAAGAACAUAAAUCUAUAAUUAAUAUUUCAACAAUAAUUAUGAGUUUAAAUGAUGUCAGGACCGGAAUGAACACAUUUUCCCUUUUAUUAUUUCAAGAACAUUUUUAUUACAAUUUGUUUUAUCCAGUAUUUAAGCUCAUCUUUAUGUAAAAAAAAGUUAGUAACCUUUUAGAAAUGGUUAUGUUUUGAGGCAGGGUCUCUCCCUGAACCUAGAGCUCACUGUUAUCUAGAUGGGCUGGCUAGUGAGCCCCAGGGAUCCUCUUGCUUCUGUUUCCCGAUCCUGGGAAAAGGAGCACUUAGCACCACACAGAGCUUUUUCCAUGUGUGCUGUGGAUCAGAAACUCAUGUUUUUGCAGCAAGCCCUUUGUUGACUGUGCCAUCUCUCUAGCCCUCCCUCCAGCUGAAAUAUUCUAGAAAGAAACAUGAACAGAUAAAAAUCUUUAUGCCCUAUUGCAACAUUGG